CCGUACCUACGGGGGGCAGCAGUGAGGAAUAUUGGUCAAUGGCCGGAAGGCUGAACCAGCCAAGUCGCGUGAGGGACGACUGCCCUAUGGGUUGUAAACCUCUUUUAUAAGGGAAGAAUAAAUGCUACGUGUAGCAUGAUGCCUGUACCUUAUGAAUAAGCAUCGGCUAACUCCGUGCCAGCAGCCGCGGUAAUACGGAGGAUGCGAGCGUUAUCCGGAUUUAUUGGGUUUAAAGGGUGCGUAGGCGGGCUGCCAAGUCAGCGGUAAAAUUGCGUGGCUCACCCCCGUCGAGCCGUUGAAACUGG
rnacentral:rRNA from 1 species